GGCGUGGUGUAAUGGCUAACACUUCAGUCCGGUCUACUGAAGAUGCUGGUUCGCUCCCAGCCGAUUA
rnacentral:tRNA from 1 species